AGAACGAACGCUGGCGGCAUGCCUAAUACAUGCAAGUCGAACGAACUCUUCGGAGUUAGUGGCGCACGGGUGCGUAACGCGUGGGAAUCUGCCCCUUGGUUCGGAAUAACAGUUGGAAACGACUGCUAAUACCGGAUGAUGACGAAAGUCCAAAGAUUUAUCGCCAAGGGAUGAGCCCGCGUAGGAUUAGCUAGUUGGUGAGGUAAAGCUCACCAAGGCAACGAUCCUUAGCUGGUCUGAGAGGAUGAUCAGCCACACUGGGACUGAGACACGGCCAGACUCCUACGGGAGGCAGCAGUAGGGAAUAUGGACAA
rnacentral:rRNA from 1 species